rnacentral:rRNA from 1 species
GUUAAAAAGCUCGUAGUUGGAUUUCUGGCGUGGGGUGCUUGACCCGCCGCGGUUACGCGUGUGAGUGUCGGUGUGCCUCGGCCAUCCUUCUAGAAACUGGCUCUGCCCUUCAUUGGGUUGGGGUCAGGAUCUGGAUCUUUUACUUUGAAAAAAUUAGAGUGUUUAAAGCAAGCUUUGCGUGAAUACAUUAGCAUGGAGUAAUAACUUAGGACUUCGGUUCUAUUUUGUUGGUUUCUAGGGCUGAAGUAAUGAUUGAUAGGGAUAGUUGGGGGUGCUAGUAUUCAGCGGCCAGAGGUGAAAUUCUUGGAUUCGCUGAAGACUAACUUAUGCGAAAGCAUUCACCAAGGAUGUCUUCUUUAAUCAAGAACGAAAGUUGGGGGAUCGAAGACGAUCAGAUACCGUCGUAGUCUCAACCAUAAACUAUGCCGACUAAGGAUGAGUGAACGUUGCUUUUUCGACUUCAUUCGCACUUUAUGAGAAAUCAAAGUUUUUGGGUUCCGGGGGGAGUAUGGUCGCAAGGCUGAAACUUAAAGGAAUUGACGGAAGGGCACCACCAGGAGUGGAGCCUGCGGCUUAAUUUGACUCAACACGGGAAAACUUACCAGGUCCAGACAUAAUGAGGAUUGACAGAUUGAAGAUCUU